CACCCCGUAAACGUUGGGAACUAGUUGUGGGGUCCUUUCCACGGAUUCCGUGACGCAGCUAACGCAUUAAGUUCCCCGCCUGGGGAGUACGGCCGCAAGGCUAAAACUCAAAGGAAUUGACGGGGACCCGCACAAGCGGCGGAGCAUGCGGAUUAAUUCGAUGCAACGCGAAGAACCUUACCAAGGCUUGACAUACACGAGAACGGGCCAGAAAUGGUCAACUCUUUGGACACUCGUGAACAGGUGG
rnacentral:rRNA from 1 species